CCCCGUCCCCUGCUGCAGCUCCCGCGGGGAAGGGGCAGCAGCCUGCGGGCCGCAGCCCUCAGCCAGAUGGUGCUCUGCAGGAAAAUCCGUACUCCCCAUCAGCGGCUGCCUUGCCAAAGAAAUAAACUGCUGCUCAGGCGGUAGAAGUCUCUCUGUGCCGCCCUCCUGAGGCAAGGGAGAACCUUUCCAACCUCAGAGUGUAAGUGGAAGAAGCGCGAAACCAUCUUAAGUUGAUAAGUGCUGAAAAUACUCAGGGAAAAAGGCUUGAAGGCAGGUACCAAGCGAGGAUGGAAGAGGCAAGAUGGAUACCACUGUCGUGAUCCUGAGGAGCUCCUCUGGGGUUUGGUGAAGUGGCCGAGAGGGAGCAGGUUGCCAGCCACGAGCUGACACUGGGCAGACAGCACAGCUUGGUCCUUCCUGGCAGGGUCACAUCGAGCAGGGAAGAGGCUUUGGAAACCCAACAGGCAGCCUGGUUCCUACUGUCAGUGAAAAUACUGCAAAAAGCUCCUACUUCCUCAUGUGAUGAACAGACCUCUCCUGGGUGCCAUAUAAUGCAAAGAUAAGGUUUAGCUGAGAUCUCCAGGAAUGAAUCUUUUAAAGGCAUUAUAUAACAACUUGGAAGCUGAAUUUGCCAUGGUAACUGUUGCAGCUUUUCUAUGUACUUCAGUAAGAAGAAAGAACCAGUCCCAUAAAUAAAUAAAUUAACUAUUUUUGUUUU